GAAGUCAAUUUUUACUUAAUAUACACAUGCAAGUCUCCGCCCACCCGUGAAAACGCCCUUAAACCCCCAUAGGGACAAGGAGCCGGUAUCAGGCACGAAAAUCUGCCCAAGACACCUAGCUUUGCCACACCCACAAGGGAUCUCAGCAGUGACCAAUAUUGAAUAUGAGCAUAAGCUUGAUUCAGUCAAAGUAAUCCAGGGCCGGCUAAUCUGGUGCCAGCCGCCGCGGUUACACCACGUGGCCCAAGUUGUCUUCCAUCGGCGUAAAACGUGAUUAAAGCUAAUAUUAAAAUAGAGUUGAAUUUAAAUUAAGCUGUGACACGCCUGCUUAUAAGAAAACCUAACACGAAAGUUACUCUAAUGAACCAACUUGAAU
rnacentral:rRNA from 1 species